rnacentral:rRNA from 2 species
GUACCCUGCUAGAGACGCUGGCGGCGUGCCUAAUACAUGCAAGUCGAACGAACUCUGGUAUUGAUUGGUGCUUGCAUCAUGAUUUACAUUUGAGUGAGUGGCGAACUGGUGAGUAACACGUGGGAAACCUGCCCAGAAGCGGGGGAUAACACCUGGAAACAGAUGCUAAUACCGCAUAACAACUUGGACCGCAUGGUCCAAGUUUGAAAGAUGGCUUCGGCUAUCACUUUUGGAUGGUCCCGCGGCGUAUUAGCUAGAUGGUGGGGUAACGGCUCACCAUGGCAAUGAUACGUAGCCGACCUGAGAGGGUAAUCGGCCACAUUGGGACUGAGACACGGCCCAAACUCCUACGGGAGGCAGCAGUAGGGAAUCUUCCACAAUGGACGAAAGUCUGAUGGAGCAACGCCGCGUGAGUGAAGAAGGGUUUCGGCUCGUAAAACUCUGUUGUUAAAGAAGAACAUAUCUGAGAGUAACUGUUCAGGUAUUGACGGUAUUUAACCAGAAAGCCACGGCUAACUACGUGCCAGCAGCCGCGGUAAUACGUAGGUGGCAAGCGUUGUCCGGAUUUAUUGGGCGUAAAGCGAGCGCAGGCGGUUUUUUAAGUCUGAUGUGAAAGCCUUCGGCUCAACCGAAGAAGUGCAUCGGAAACUGGGAAACUUGAGUGCAGAAGAGGACAGUGGAACUCCAUGUGUAGCGGUGAAAUGCGUAGAUAUAUGGAAGAACACCAGUGGCGAAGGCGGCUGUCUGGUCUGUAACUGACGCUGAGGCUCGAAAGUAUGGGUAGCAAACAGGAUUAGAUACCCUGGUAGUCCAUACCGUAAACGAUGAAUGCUAAGUGUUGGAGGGUUUCCGCCCUUCAGUGCUGCAGCUAACGCAUUAAGCAUUCCCGCCUGGGGAGUACGGCCGCAAGGCUGAAACUCAAAGGAAUUGACGGGGGCCCGCACAGCGGUGGAGCAUGUGGUUUAAUUCGAAGCUAACGCGAAGAACCUUACAGGUCUUGACAUACUAUGCAAUCUAAGAGAUAGACGUUCCCUCGGGACAUGAUUACAGGUGGUGCAUGGUUGUCGUCAGC